GAUGAACGCUAGCGGCAGGCCUAAUACAUGCAAGUCGAACGGUGUCUUCGGACAUAGUGGCGCACGGGUGCGUAACACGUAUGCAACCUACCUUACAUUGGGGGAUAGCCUUUCGAAAGGGAGAUUAAUACCGCAUAAGACAGUAACUAGGCAUCUAGUAGCUGUUAAAGAUUUAUCGAUGUAAGCUGGGCAUGCGUCCAAUUAGUUAGUUAGUGAGGUAACGGCUCACCAAGGCAAUGAUUGGUAGGGGAACUGAGAGGUCAAUCCCCCACACUGGCACUGAGAGACGGGCCAGACUCCUACGGGAGGCAGCAGUAGGGAAUAUUGGUCAAUGGACGCAAGUCUGACCCAGCCAUUCAGCGUGCAGGAUGAAGGCGUUAUGCGUUGUAAACUGCUUUUAUACAGGAAGAAACGACUCUUGCGAGAGGCAUUGACGGUACUGUAUGAAUAAGCACCGGCUAACUCCGUGCCAGCCGCCGCCGUAAAAC
rnacentral:rRNA from 1 species